rnacentral:rRNA from 1 species
CACCCUUAAACUAGCCCCCCAACUAAAAACAAAACACAACCAUUAAUAAACCCUAAAACAUUAAAACCACCAACUAAAACAUUCUACAACCCUAGUACGGGAGACAAAAAAG